GUCGGGUUGCCGCUGUUACUCCGGCUCCUCCAGGCGCGUAGUGACCCCGCCUCGUCUGUUCUGGUCCCCGGCCCGCGGCUGCGGCGCUGACGUGGCUCCCGGAAGUGGGGCUGGCGUGGGCCGCCAUGUUGCAGCAGGACAGUAAUGAUGACAUUGAAGAUGUCUCACUGUUUGAUGCAGAAGAGGAGACAACUGGUAGAUCAAAAAAAUCCAAAAUCAGACACCCAGUGGCAUCAUUUUUCCAUUUAUUCUUUCGAGUCAGUGCAAUUAUAGUCUAUCUUCUCUGUGAAUUGUUCAGCAGCAGCUUUAUUGCCUGUAUGGUGACAAUUAUCUUGUUGUUGUCAUGUGACUUUUGGGCAGUCAAGAAUGUCACAGGUAGACUAAUGGUUGGCCUGCGCUGGUGGAAUCAUAUUGAUGAAGAUGGAAAAAGCCAUUGGGUGUUUGAGUCCAGGAAGGCCUCUCCUCAAGACAGUAAAACUGUUUCAGAGGCUGAAUCAAGAAUCUUCUGGUUAGGACUCAUUGCCUGUCCGGUGCUGUGGGUGAUAUUUGCCUUUAGUGCCCUCUUCUCCUUCAGAGUGAAGUGGUUGGCGGUGGUUAUCAUGGGUGUGGUGCUGCAAGGGGCCAACUUGUAUGGCUACAUCAGGUGCAAAGUGGGCAGCAGGAAGAAUUUAACCAGCAUGGCUACAUCGUACCUUGGAAAGCAGUUUUUAAGACAAACCACUGGAGACGAUCAGACCUCCUGAAGACAGUGAGGGAGUCUGCGUGUUCUUUCCUUUGGGAACAACUGAAGGGGGUCUUGACUCUGAACCUUUAGAACUCAGUACCUAUUGCAAAGAGGAGUGUUGGGUGACGAAACAGGACUUCAGGUUAUUGACUGACUUGCCCAAGGAGACACUGAUUACAGGAAGACCCAUCAGGACAUAUUACUGAUUUUAGAGGAAAUAUUUGUCUCUAAAUGUCCUUUCCUUUCGUACGAAUCAUUAAUUUACUAAGUCAUUAAUUUGGUAAGUGCUUGUUUCCCAUUUUAUUUAUACUUGUCUGGUGAGGAAAGUGGAUGCUGCAUAAAUGUUUUUAUUUAACCUGAAAGAUCUGGUGUCAGUCUGUAGAGCUGAGAGUCUCAUGGGGGGGUUGCUCUUGAGGUAACUAUUGUUAUUUCAGGCUUCAAUCCUACACCAAAUAUGAAUUGAAUUUUGGAAUAUGUACGUGGCAAGACCUACUGUUUAUCCCCCAAUAUUCAUUUUUCCCUUCUAUUCAUUUCCCACUUAUUAGCCAGGACAUGGCAACAAAGACAGUUUUUCCCAGAUUUUCUUGCUGCACCUUGGCUAUGCUUCCAGGAAGUAUUCUUAGAAGACCGGCAUGCGCGUCCCCUCCCCUUUUCACCCCUCUUAGCUGAAAUGUAGACAGAAUAGAUGGCGCUUGAACAGCUGUCAUGGACGAUGGGGUGAUAGCCUUAUUUUUGAGAACAGCAGAGAAAUAAGGUAGAGAUUGAGUUCCCGCUGAUGGGGCCAGCAGCCCUGAACUGCCUGUCUGAAUUUUUAAGUGAGAAACAAACUUCUGUCUUGUUUUAAGUGUUAUUGCUUUGGUUUUUCUGUUACUACAGCCUAAGUGAAUUCUUAUCAAUACAGUAUAUUUUCAGCAGCCCCCACAAUUGUUUCCAUUAGUAUAGUAUUUGAGAUUUAGUAGUUCAUCAAAUACAUAUUUGCUCUUUUCUGUGAGUUAAUUAAGCUAAUAUUAUAGAUUCUAACAAGUCCAGCUGUUCCAGAUGCUGUUGCUGCAUAAAAAUUCACCCCAGAACUUAGCAGUGUACAACAGUCAUUUUCUUAUGCUUACACAAGCUGUGGGCCAGGAAUCUGGGUGGAGCUCAGUGGGGACAGCUUUCCUCUGCUGCACAGCCUGGGGCUCGGCUGAGAGAUUUGAAGGCUGGGUUUUGCACAUUGGCCAGGAGGCAGGAAACAUCUGGGGGCAUCUUCACGGGUCUGGAGAUUGAUGGCGGCUGUCAGCUGAACCUCAGCCAGGUUGCUGGUUGGAACACCCACAUUUGUGACCUCUGGGUCGUCUCUCUGUGGAGGCUCAUCUGGGCUUCUUCACAGCCUGACAGCUGGGGUCUGAGACAGGCUUCCCCAGGGAGCCAGAGAAGUGUGUGACGUUUUUAUGACUAGUCUCGGGGUUCACAUAGUGUCACUUCUGCCAUACUCUGGUUGAAGCAGCCACUAAGGUCCCCCUGAGUUCACGGGGAGGGGACAAAGCAGCCAUCUUUUGAAAGUAAAAUCUGCCACACAUAAUCGUUUCAAGACGGGAAAACUGCUUGAAGAGACCGAGGGUAGCAUGUGUUGCUUUCUUUUUUAUCUUCCCUGGUCAGCCUUGAGCACAGGUAAACUGACUGAAUGGUGCAAUUAAAAUGAAAGUAACAUUGCAUUCUGGAGCCCCCAGUGUGCCUGUUGUUUGGCCCACAGCUCUGAAACGUAGGCAAGGGUGUGUGUGGUUGUGUGGAGGUGAUGGCACAGUAAGUCCACCAUGGUGUCAGUACUGUGGUCCUUUAAAUUUGUAAAACUCUUCAGAGCUCAUUCAGAGUUCUUUUAUGUCUAUUACCUUAUUUGAUUUUCCCCCGUAACCUCUAGAAGGAGGAGAGAUCAUGAACAACCUCAUGUUACAGAUGAAUAGCUAAGAUGGAGAAAAGUAAAAUAAUUUACUGACGAUUGCAGGUAGUAGAGACAGUGAUGCUCCCCCAGUAUUCCCUUUGUUCUCCUGUACUUCCCACCAGCUCCCUAAUUAACUGAAGCUAUGAGAUCAGUUAUGGCCCGUGUGAUGUGAGUGAAGGUGACCUGCAUCGCUUUUGGGUGAGGAAGGUGAAACUGAUGUGAGAGUCUCUAAUCUUUCUUCCCUUCUGUGGCAGCCAGUGGUGCUCGAGAUGGUGCCUCGGCCAGCUGGGUCCCUGGGUGGCUUGUAGAGCAGAAUCUCCCACCUGCUCCUGUUGGACGAAUGGCGUAAGUGAGCAAUAAACUUUUGGUGUGUGAAGUCACUUGAUUUCCUGGUUAAUUUGUUUCCAUAACAUAACACAGCGUAAUAGCCUCUUCUGACGAAUAUAGGUGCACACCUGACAAGUAAUACUCAGAAAACUCUUAAGUCCUAAUUCAGUAAUUUCUCCACUGUUCCAUGCUAUUUACUUUUGCAAGGAAAGAAAUUGGAAUCUGGUCCCUUAGUGCAGCAUCACCAAUUCUAAUCAGAACAGACAGGUGAGGUUGACCAGGUGAAAAUUCAACUAGGAGAGUCCACCUCCAUCUAAAGGAGCAGGAGCUUCUCAUUUCCAGCCACUUGUUGCCACUCAGGAAUGUGGUUCCUGUGUUGCUAGGGUUUUCUGUUUUUUAAGAGGAAUGGAAAAUCUGGAUGUUUAUAUGAAAUCUGAUCUUUUAAUGUUUGUAAAUUAAAUUUUAAAAGGAAAAAAAACAUGUGAAGUCAAACCGAGUAUGUUUGCAGGUCAGGUUCAGCUGUGCUAACUUUUGUGGCAUUGCAGUGAUGUUCAAACUAGUAGAGCUCUUUCUUCUAAGUCUUGUGUCAAAGCUGAAUAUCUGUAAUGAGCAAAGCAGAGCUGCUCUAGAGGAAACAGGUUUGGAGGUUCUGGAAUCACCCGCUCAGCCUUAACUACCAUUUUCCAAGAAGCCCCCGAGCCACUGUUUGCUGCAAACCACUGCUGGGAAGGUGAAACCAAGGUCUGCCUGGUUUUGAGGAACACGUUCUCAAAUCAUAUGUCACAUACAUUUUUCAAUUAAAAGUAAAGUUGAAAUAAUACCAAAUUCUUGUGAGAAGCAGGAAGCAUUCCUUAAAACCUUAAUAUUGUUAUUCUAAAAGGAAAAGAGCAAUCCUUCCUUCCUGAAGAAGUUAAAUUUAGUGCCAAGAAAAAGUUUAGUCUUAUAUAUCACUUUUCCCCACUAUGAUUAAUUACAAAAUAAUUAAAGCAGUCAUGGUCAGAAAACCGAAGGGCUACAAAGAAAUGCAAGUCUUAUCCCACUCUCAGUUCUGCUCCCCAGAAGCAAACAUCUUCAACUGCUGCAGGUUUUGUAUUUUGGGUAUUUACUUCCAUACUAAAUAAAAUGCUUAUUGUUUGUACAGUGUUUCUUGAC